UAUUAAUCACACCCUGUUGUAACAUCCCCUGCCUCCCUCUUCCAUUUCCUUUUCUCUGGAGACACUAGCGCCUGUGCUGUUUCAGAUGAGACCAUCUAGAUGCAGAAAAACAAGCUCAGGACUCCCACUGACUACAUUAGGAUACUUGCUGCUACAUUGCUUCUCCCUCUCUGUGUGGACAUACCUGCCUUUGCUGCAAAGUGCUGGAAGCUGGCCUCUUUGGAGCCACAGACCAAAAGAUGGAGUCCCGCUCUGUCACCCAGGCUGGAGUGAAGUGGCACAAUCUCAGCUCACUGCAACCUCCGCCUCCUGGGUUCAGGCCAUUCUUCUGCCUCAGCCUCCCAUGUAGCUGGGUUUACAGGCACACACCACUAUGUCCAGCUGAUCUUUUGUAUUUUUAAUAGAGACAGGGUUUUGCCAUGUUGGCUAGGCUGGUCUUGAACUCCUGACCUCAAGUGAUCCACCCACCUCGGCUUCCCAAAAUGCUGGGAUUAUAGGUGUGAGCCACCACACCUGGUCUCCAUUUCUAACUACAAAAACUGGCUCCAAUCUCACCGCUCAAAAGUUCUCCUGCAUAGCCCUGUCCCAGGCUGGCCACACUGAAAUCUUCUGGGUGCUUCAGUGUUCUUCAUGCAUUUUUAAUGUUGCUUUUAUUCUUUUCAUUCCUACUUAUUGUAUAAAGACUGGUCAUAUUGGAAAUUCCUCAAAAAAGGGGAAUUUGUCUUUUGGCUGUCCUCACAGUUUAUAAUACUGUGACUGGAAUAAAGGACUCAAAAAAUAACAUUCCUUGCAUUCGUAAUCCCCACCAUCUAUGUGUGUGUGAAUUCAUAUGUGAUAUGUAAACACACAGUAAUUUUUAAAUACUUGGCACACAAGCUGCUUAAGUUCCCUGGGCCUCUGUUUACUCGUCUGUGAAAUGAUGAUGCCAUCACCUACUGCACAGUUGUGGUUUGGAAAAGAUUAAAUGGAAUCGAUCCUGUAUGGCAAUAUUUACUGACAGUUCUUCAGGGCUGG
rnacentral:lncRNA from 1 species